GCCUGGCUAGCUCAGUCGCUAGAGCAAGACUCUUAAUCUCAGGGUCAUGGGUUCAAGCCCCAUGUCGGGCG
rnacentral:tRNA from 1 species